rnacentral:rRNA from 1 species
UAAUACAGAGGGUGCGAGCGUUAAUCGGAAUUACUGGGCGUAAAGCGUGCGUAGACGGUUAUUUAAGUCGGAUGUGAAAGCCCCGGGCUCAACCUGGGAAUUGCAUUCGAGACUGAAUAGCUAGGGUGCGGUAGAGGGAAGCGGAAUUUCCGGUGUAGCGGUGAAAUGCGUAGAUAUCGGAAGGAACAUCAGUGGCGAAAGCGGCUUCCUGGACCAGCACCGACGUUCAGGCACGAAAGCGUGGGGAGCAAACAGGAUUAGAUACCCUGGUAGUCCACGCCGUAAACGAUGAGUGCUAGAUGUUUCUGGUAUUGACCCCGGAGGCGUCGUAGCUAACGCGUUAAGCACUCCGCCUGGGGAGUACGGCCGCAAGGCUA